rnacentral:rRNA from 1 species
UACAGAGGGUGCAAGCGUUAAUCGGAAUUACUGGGCGUAAAGCGCGCGUAGGUGGUUCGUUAAGUUGGAUGUGAAAUCCCCGGGCUCAACCUGGGAACUGCAUUCAAAACUGUCGAGCUAGAGUAUGGUAGAGGGUGGUGGAAUUUCCUGUGUAGCGGUGAAAUGCGUAGAUAUAGGAAGGAACACCAGUGGCGAAGGCGACCACCUGGACUGAUACUGACCACUGAGGUGCGAAAGCGUGGGGAGCAAACAGG